rnacentral:rRNA from 1 species
CGUGUAGGCGGUCUAAUAAGUCAGAUGUUAAAGAUCCCGGCUCAACCGGGGAGGGUCAUUUGAAACUGUUAGGCUUGAGUGCGAGAGAGGGUAGUGGAAUUCCCAGUGUAGCGGUGAAAUGCGUAGAUAUUGGGAAGAACACCAGUAGCGAAGGCGGCUACCUGGCUCGCAACUGACGCUAAGGCGCGAAAGCGUGGGGAGCAAACA